rnacentral:rRNA from 1 species
UACGAAGGGUGCAAGCGCUAAUCGGAAUUACUGGGCGUAAAGCGCACGUAGGCGGCUUUGCAAGUCAGAGGUGAAAGCCCGGGGCUCAACCCCGGAAUUGCCUUUGAGACUGCAUCGCUAGAAUUGUGGAGAGGUAAGUGGAAUUCCGAGUGUAGAGGUGAAAUUCGUAGAUAUUCGGAAGAACACCAGUGGCGAAGGCGACUUACUGGACAUGUAUUGACGCUGAGGUGCGAAAGCGUGGGGAGCAAACAGG